ensembl:snoRNA
UCUGGAGGAAUGAUGACAAUAAAAGGCUGAAUUUCAGUGUCUCCAUCAGCUCUUACUUUCUGGGUAGGUGCCUGACGAUAAAACCUCCUGAAGGGCACCAAUGGUCUGAUCUCAGU